AUUGAACGCUGGCGGCAGGCCUAACACAUGCAAGUCGAACGAGUGGCGGACGGGUGAGUAAUGUCUGUGAAACGUCGCGAUGGAUGAGGGUAACAACUGGAAACUGUUGCUAAUACCGCCUACCAUCGGAUGUGCCCAAAUGGGAGUAGCUAGUAGGUGGGGGAACGGCUCACCUAGGCGACUACCCCUAGCUGGUCUGAGAGGAUGACCAGCCACACUGGAACUGAGACACGGUCCAGACUCCUACGGGAGGCAGCAGUGGGGAAUAUUGCACAAUGGGCGCAAGCCUGAUGCAGCCAUGCCGCGUGUAUGAAGAAGGCCUUCGGGUUGUAAAGUACUUUCAGCGAGGAGGCGUUACUCGCAGAAGAAGCACCGGCUAACUCCGUGCCAGCAGCCGCGGUAAUAC
rnacentral:rRNA from 1 species